rnacentral:lncRNA from 1 species
GAACUCUGCUAAUGGAAGACGAGGAAAAGGCAGGCUUGCUGUGGCCUGUUGUCUCUGCCUGGCAGAGUCUGGUGGCUGCUCUCAUUUCACAUCACAUUGCGAGCUGGAUGAAAGCAAGAACCAAGGCGGCUCAGCACGCAUAAAGCAGAAUGGAAUAACAGCAAACAACAUUGGAGGAGGACUUGUCUGGGAGAGCAGCCAUUUUAAAGAAGAGCACAUUAAGUCACAAACAGUCGCAGCUGAUCUACUUUGCAGCAUCGCCAUACAUGCCUAACUAAAUAUUGAAAUCCCAGGAAAAACUCACUGUGCAUCAUGUUCCAGAAACUAGCUUUGCAAACAGUCUUUUCAGAUGUGUACAUUUUGUGUAUUUGAGGCAUAUAAUAUAUAUAUUUUCC